rnacentral:rRNA from 1 species
UACGGAGGGUGCAAGCGUUGUCCGGAAUCACUGGACGUAAAGGGCGCGUAGGCGGCUCAUGAAGGCUGUGGUGAAAGUCCGGGGCUCAACCUCGGAUCGGCCGUGGCGACUCGUGGGCUGGAGCACUGUAGAGGCGGGUGGAAUUCCGGGUGUAGCGGUGGAAUGCGUAGAGAUCCGGAAGAACACCAGUGGCGAAGGCGACUCACUGGCCCGUUACUGACGCUGAGGCGCGAAAGCGUGGGGAGCAAACAGG